AUAGUUUGGUUGGAAGGGCAAUGACUUUGAUUUAUUAGCAACUGAAAGUAAGUGUUGGAACCGUGAUGGAUUCAGAGCAACUCCUGUCUGCACAGUGGAAGGACCUAACGCAACUGAGAAGGACAGAGAACAGCAUGUAUUCUGAAAGCAUUUUAAAAAGGGUUCUUGAAAGGUAGUCCUUUGGCUGUCGGUGCAUCAUAAACAGAAGAAGGCAGUGGAUACUUACUCGAGAGAAAUUGCACCAGCAGGGACUGGAAUGGCACAGGAAAGUCAGGAGCAGUUUGCCUUCACAUGGGAAGGCUGCCAGUGGACAAUCACUACCCUUCCACAGGGAUACUGCCACAGCCCCAACAUUUGUCAUGGACUUGUAGACCAGGACUUGGCCACAUGGAAGAAACUGCAAAUGGCACAGCUAUAUCAUUACAUUGUUGAUAUUAUGCUCAUGUCUGAUUGUCUUGCAGAUUUAGAAGGGGCAGUUCCUAGACUGCUGCCAUAUCUACAGGAGAAAGGAUGGGCUGUGAACAGCACCAAGGUUCAGGGACCUAGUUUGUCAGUAAAGUUCUUGAGGGUUGUCUGGUCAGGUAAAACUAAAGUUAUCCCAGAUUUACAGGUAGCAUUAAAACUGCAUAAAACUCCCAGCACCCCACUAAAUUGAAUUUUCAGUGACAAACUGAUUAAGUGUUGUCAUAAUGUAUUUAAGGUUAACUUGUAUAAGAAAUGAAAUGCCCUGAAAUCUUUAGUUCAUGCAAGAAAGUUCUUUCCCCAACUUCAGCUUGCAUGAUAUUAAACAAGUGGCAAAGCUAUUUUUUUUCAAAAUUGUCAAUAAUUCAGAAUUCACUUAACCUGCUAUGCUAAAGAAAUAACUGAAAGUUUUUUAUCCCCAACAAAUAAUUUUAAAAAUUAUUUGCAUUUGAGAGAUGAUGAGAGUAUGCAGCCUAAAAAGGUAGGAAAAUAUAUCAGAGCAGGGUAUUGGACAGUUAAUUAAAAUAGAUGCUGUUUUUCUAGCUCCUGUGAUAAAUUAGUGAUAUUUGUCAGCUUAUAAAAUUUAUAAUGCAGUGUGAUUUUUUUUCCUCAUUCACUUUCAUAUCUGAUUUUGUAUUUAAAAUUUUGCAUUAUUUUUCUUAAAAAGGCUUCUGCAAAUUGCAUUUGCUUCAGGCCUCUCUAAACCUGCAUCUGCCCCACUUCUAGUUAAUACUGAGUCUGCUACUUGAUUUUUAAUGUUGAGGAAGUUACAAAACUUUUUAAAUCUAGUUACUUAUAGACUCCUUAUAGAUAACCUAUGGGGUUAUAGAGCUAUAAAAGAAAGAUGAGGGAAAAUGGGAGAGGUAGGGAAAGGGGUUGAGAGAAAGAAUAUAUGGAAGUAUGUUCUAGGCUGCAAGGCAACUCACAUGAGCAAGAUACAAAGUUAUCCCAAUGAAAUAUUUCUAUAGUAUAUGACCUACUUUUGUCUCUUCUUAAACAGCAUAUUGCUCAGCAUUUUACUGUUUUAUUGAUGAUUUGUGAUUGCCAUUUUGAACACAGGAACUUCAUAGACUGAUUCUCCUUUCAGUGUCCAUUAAUCUUCAGGUGUGAGAAAAAUAAAAUUCUCAAUGUGUUUAA